GAUGAACGCUGGCGGCGUGCCUAAUACAUGCAAGUCGAGCGAACAGACGAGGAGCUUGCUCCUCUGACGUUAGCGGCGGACGGGUGAGUAACACGUGGAUAACCUACCUAUAAGACUGGGAUAACUUCGGGAAACCGGAGCUAAUACCGGAUAAUAUUUUGAACCGCAUGGUUCAAAAGUGAAAGACGGUCUUGCUGUCACUUAUAGAUGGAUCCGCGCUGCAUUAGCUAGUUGGUAAGGUAACGGCUUACCAAGGCAACGAUGCAUAGCCGACCUGAGAGGGUGAUCGGCCACACUGGAACUGAGACACGGUCCAGACUCCUACGGGAGGCAGCAGUAGGGAAUCUUCCGCAAUGGGCGAAAGCCUGACGGAGCAACGCCGCGUGAGUGAUGAAGGUCUUCGGAUCGUAAAACUCUGUUAUUAGGGAAGAACAUAUGUGUAAGUAACUGUGCACAUCUUGACGGUACCUAAUCAGAAAGCCACGGCUAACUACGUG
rnacentral:rRNA from 1 species